GUAGAUAUAAUUUAACAAAAAUGUUAGAUUGUGAUUCUAAAAAUAGAGGUUAAACCCCUCUUAUCCACC
rnacentral:tRNA from 2 species